ensembl:lncRNA
GAAUUGUAAAGCGCUUUGGGUGCCUAGAAAAACUCUAUAUAAAUGCAAUCCAUUAUUGUUAUUCGUUUUGGUGUCUGGGGCGGGGCGCUCAUGUAUUUACCGACUCACUCCUGGUGGCCGAUUGGCGGGGCCUGGCACCUGUGGCCCAGCUAGGCCCCUUACGGGGGGUCGGGUGCCCUCAGGCCUCUCGGCCUGAUACCCGGUCUUCUCUGGCACAGCUGGCUGCUGGCAGAGCCCGCGGGCACAUCACUGCAACCCCCUCUGGCCUCUGCUCCGUGGCUGCUGGGUGACCUCUCGUUUGGGGCUCUCCUCAGCUCUUCCCAGGAGGGUGGCACGUUGGCCCCCUGGUGGUCCUCCUCGGGUCCUCGUACUCUGGGGCCUCUGGAUGUCUGGGGCCUGGAUCUCCUCCAUACCUGCUUCAUGCCCUGGGGGACGGGGCUAUGGCUCCCCACACUCCCUAGCAGAUCGUUACAUGGAGAAACCUUUUGAAUACAAGCGUGCUGAUCCACACAGGUGUGUACACAGGUGUGCACACAGGUGUUCACAGACACAAACUACACCUUUCUUGGCUGCUGCCUGAAAGCACAUUGUGCGCUGUCGAUCUUGCGUGCUGUAACAUAACAUCUAAUAUUUGGUAUCUACUGUUAUCUACUGUUAGCUGUUUUAUUGUGAUGGUGCUAUAUUUAUUAUGUUGCUCUUUCUUGUUUGUUUUCUCUUCUGUUUUUUCUUAUCUCCAUACAGGUGAUCCAGGUGUUUUGUUUGUUUUUCUUUUUUUCUUCCCCCCUUUCUCACCGUCUCUUCUCCCCUCUAUUUUUUUUCUCCCCCUCUCUUUCUUUCAUUCUUUCUCCCUGUCCUAUCCCCCAGUCAUGUCUGUCCCAUCUGUAACAACCAAAAAUCAAAUCAAAUAAAUAUAUAAUUAUAAUAAAGGUCAAUCAAAUGGCCCAAACGCAAGACCGUGAUGAUCCAAUUGGUAAAGUAAAGCCGCUUGGCAUCUUUCUUGGCCUUCAGACAACAAUUCUGAUGGCUAAAGAUCCAAACGGGACAGGCAAAAAAAAAAAAAAAAAGAUGAGUCAGUGAAGCAAACUGAUCAGCUGUCUUAUUGUGUCUUUUGUGUGUUUGGUUUUGUGUAUUCAAUGAACCGAACGCCGUCUUUACUGCACGAGGGUGUGACCAUCCACAUCCUUUCAUCUGUCCAC